CAAAGUGCGGAUCUGCUCGGAAACAUGCGAAAACUUUGUUGAAGAACGAGGCGAGAAAUGUUUCUACUCCCAAGUGAACUGAUUGAUGGAGUUAUGCCUCUCACUCUUAUGAAGCACUACCCCAGCCCUGUCUGUAGAUACUCCCACUCCAAGACAGAGAGUCGGACGGAACGGGCUGCAACGCAUCAACUCAUCUUUUUCUUCUGACAGCAGCCGGCACCUUUUCCGGCUGUGAGCGGGGCCUUCAUGGAUUCACCUUAUAAUGGCAAUGCGUCCUUGCAGACGUCCACAUCCAACCUCAACGCCAGUUACUCACGACCUUCAGAAACUGAGGACGAUGGAAAAGUGUCCAGUGACACCAUUUGGCUGUGGAUCGCCGUGCUGGCGACCAUUGGGAACAUAGUGGUGGUGGCAGUGGUGUGUGCCUGUGCCUUCUGACACAGAAGAGGAGAGAGGCAGGAACAUGACUGUCAUCAGAUGUUCAGACCUUCUUUGAGUUACUUUCUUUUUCUUGGUUAAAAUGAAAACAAACAAACGAAAAAAGGUUUCAUUGAUAAAUCAACACAGAGUCGUUGAUUUGUUUCUUUCAUGGAAAUAUGACUCACUAGCCUUUUGAAACAGUAAUAAAAAGAAUGAAACCCAUUUAACAUUAGCUUAUUUGAAGCGGCUGUGAAAUCAAAACAAUAAGAUGACUCGGACAUUUUUUUUAGUAACGAAGUGCAACAACUAAAAUAAUACAAAAAUAGAUGGAAACUUCAACACAAUCAAAACUAGCCUUUAUGUUUUAGUAAUUUGCGAUGUAUAAUCCUUUCAUUUUCAAGAACAUACAACUAUAUUCACAUCAAACUGUUAAAAUUAAGUCUUUAGAUAUUGGUUAGUUUUUGUAUAAUUCAUUUAAAUGCAAUUUAAAGGAACAAUGAUGUUGACCCAGUAUAAAAUGUUCCUGUAUUUGGAAGAAUGUGUCAUGCCUCCAGGUCUGCCCUUUGUAGCCGAACAAUAACCAGGUCACAGAAAGGUUUGCUUUCAGUUUCCACAUGCACUGCUUAUUAACAUUUUUUAAAUGAGCCCAGAGCAAGUACCUGCAUUUUUUCUCUUUAUCACAGGUAUCUGGUUCAAAACAAAAUGUGACCUCAGAAUAAAAACAUCACGCAUGCUGCUGGUUACGCAAACAAGGCCACGAUUUUACAAAUAAAAGGUAUAUAAGUCCAUGCGUUGGUGACUGAAGCACACGUUUAACAGAUAUCGUGAUUAAAGCAGAUAAAACCUCAAUUUCUGAAAUCAGAAAACAGGACAUCAUCCAGUUAUGGUAUUAAGCAUUGAAACAGUGUUUGGGAAUUCAAUAUUUCAGUUAAUGAAAACAUUAAACUCCAUCCUGCUUAUUUCUUACUGUUGUUUAUUCUUUUAGUUUUUAGUGUUAUUUUUUCCAGCAUUCUAAAUGCUAUUUUCUUGACUGACUGCAUAGUUGGCCUGCUUAAGUUGGAAAGACUUCUUGCUUCGAUUGCUGCUCAUCAUUUUCCCGCAGUGACUCAAUGACCUUACAAAGCAGUAAAUCCUGAUCAUAACAGCUGCAUAGCUACUGUGUCUGCCAUGUUUUUUUGUUUCCUGCAGUGUUGCAUGCCAUUCACUUUAUAAUGUCAUUGUUGCUGUAAAGUUCUCCUCUGGAUUUUCCCCAACUGGACUAGAGCAGUGUACUGUUUUGGGGGAUUAGAGGAAGAGCUGCAUUGCAUUUGUUUAUAAAAUCAUAAAAGUCUGUAAUCAUCAUUUGAAA